AUGGACGACGCGUCCCUCGAGCACACGCCCACCUGGGUCGUGGCCGCCGUCUGCCUCGUCAUCGUCUCCGUCUCCCUCGCCGCCGAGCGCUUCCUCCACUACCUCGGCAAGGCAUUAAAACAUAAGCAGCAGAAAACAUUGUAUUCAGCUCUACAGAGACUAAAAGAAGAGUUAAUGCUUCUUGGAUUUAUUUCCUUCAUCCUGAGUCUCUCACAGAGUUUUAUUGUUCACAUCUGCAUUCCCGAAACCGCUACACAUUUCAUGCUUCCAUGCAAGAGAGAGAAUCACAAAGUUGUUGAAGAAGGUGCCAUAGUUUGCAAGAAAAAGGGUGAUGUCCCCUUUCUAUCACUGGAGGCAUUGCAUCAGCUGCACAUAUUCAUAUUUGUACUUGGCUUGGUCCAUGUGGUUUUCUGCGCUACAACAAUAUUUCUUGGUGGAGCGCAGAUAAGAAGAUGGAAGCAUUGGGAGACUGGAAUUCACCGAGAUAUACAAAAGAAACUUGAAGUACUGCAAACAGAUAUUGUAGGAAAUGCUACACCAUUGCAUGUUUUGCUACGCCGUAAUCACCAGCGUGAAUUGGUCAGUGAGCGAACAGAGGGAUUUUGGAAGCAGCUGGCUGUUGUGAGCUGGAUUAUUGCGUUCUCGAAGCAAUUUCAUGAUUCUGUGGGUAAAUCAGAUUAUGAAGCGCUUAGAUCAGCAUUCGUCUUAAUACACUACCCAAGCCACCCAAACUUUGAUUUCCACAAGUACAUGACCCGUGCCCUUGAGCAUGACUUUAAGAGGGUUGUUGGUAUCAGCUGGUACCUGUGGCUUUUUGUCAUCCUUUUCCUUUUGCUGAAUAUAAAUGGAUGGCACACAUACUUCUGGUUAGCUUUCUUGCCUCUAUUUCUCCUGCUUGUUGUUGGCGCAAAGCUGCAGCACAUUAUUACCCGAUUAGCUCAAGAGGCAGCGGCAUCGUUAGCAGAUAAAACAAACCAAGUCCCGAAUAUAAAGCCAUCCAAGGAGCAUUUCUGGUUUGGGAAACCUUCAAUUGUCCUUCAUUUGAUCCAUUUCAUCCUAUUCCAGAACGCCUUCGAGAUUGGUUUUUUCUUCUGGGUCUUGGUAACAUAUGGGUUCGAUUCAUGCAUCAUGGAGAAGAAGGCUUACGCCAUCUCCAGACUUGUUAUUGGUCUGAUCAUCCAGGUGGUGUGCAGCUACAUCACCCUGCCAUUAUACGCCAUCGUCACCCACAUGAGCGGAGACAUCAAGCUGCAAGCGCUGGGCUCGGGCCUCCACGAGUCCGUGGCGAACUGGGCCACGGGUGCCCGGAAGAGGGGCCGCUCGGAGACGAGCCUCCGGAACUCGCUCACCUUGAAGAAGACCGGCGCCACGGAUCCCGUCGCCGGCCGCGGCGACAGCGUCGAGAUCCCGGUGGCGCGGGCGCCCAACGAGCACUUCGGCAGCUCACGCAACAUGCUGGGGCCGGCGGUAGUUCCCGACCUGGACGAGAUCGUGUCCGUCGUGGACAACGACAGCCGGAGGUGA
rnacentral:rRNA from 1 species